rnacentral:rRNA from 1 species
AGAGUUUGAUCCUGGCUCAGGAUGAACGCUAGCUACAGGCUUAACACAUGCAAGUCGAGGGGCAGCAUGGUCUUAGCUUGCUAAGGCCGAUGGCGACCGGCGCACGGGUGAGUAACACGUAUCCAACCUGCCGUCUACUCUUGGACAGCCUUCUGAAAGGAAGAUUAAUACAAGAUGGCAUCAUGAGUCCGCAUGUUCACAUGAUUAAAGGUAUUCCGGUAGACGAUGGGGAUGCGUUCCAUUAGAUAGUAGGCGGGGUAACGGCCCACCUAGUCUUCGAUGGAUAGGGGUUCUGAGAGGAAGGUCCCCCACAUUGGAACUGAGACACGGUCCAAACUCCUACGGGAGGCAGCAGUGAGGAAUAUUGGUCAAUGGGCGAGAGCCUGAACCAGCCAAGUAGCGUGAAGGAUGACUGCCCUAUGGGUUGUAAACUUCUUUUAUAAAGGAAUAAAGUCGGGUAUGGAUACCCGUUUGCAUGUACUUUAUGAAUAAGGAUCGGCUAACUCCGUGCCAGCAGCCGCGGUAAUACGGAGGAUCCGAGCGUUAUCCGGAUUUAUUGGGUUUAAAGGGAGCGUAGAUGGAUGUUUAAGUCAGUUGUGAAAGUUUGCGGCUCAACCGUAAAAUUGCAGUUGAUACUGGAUAUCUUGAGUGCAGUUGAGGCAGGCGGAAUUCGUGGUGUAGCGGUGAAAUGCUUAGAUAUCACGAAGAACUCCGAUUGCGAAGGCAGCCUGCUAAGCUGCAACUGACAUUGAGGCUCGAAAGUGUGGGUAUCAAACAGGAUUAGAUACCCUGGUAGUCCACACAGUAAACGAUGAAUACUCGCUGUUUGCGAUAUACAGUAAGCGGCCAAGCGAAAGCAUUAAGUAUUCCACCUGGGGAGUACGCCGGCAACGGUGAAACUCAAAGGAAUUGACGGGGGCCCGCACAAGCGGAGGAACAUGUGGUUUAAUUCGAUGAUACGCGAGGAACCUUACCCGGGCUUAAAUUGCAGAUGAAUUACGGUGAAAGCCGUAAGCCGCAAGGCAUCUGUGAAGGUGCUGCAUGGUUGUCGUCAGCUCGUGCCGUGAGGUGUCGGCUUAAGUGCCAUAACGAGCGCAACCCUUGUUGUCAGUUACUAACAGGUUCCGCUGAGGACUCUGACAAGACUGCCAUCGUAAGAUGUGAGGAAGGUGGGGAUGACGUCAAAUCAGCACGGCCCUUACGUCCGGGGCUACACACGUGUUACAAUGGGGGGUACAGAGGGCCGCUACCACGCGAGUGGAUGCCAAUCCCCAAAACCUCUCUCAGUUCGGACUGGAGUCUGCAACCCGACUCCACGAAGCUGGAUUCGCUAGUAAUCGCGCAUCAGCCACGGCGCGGUGAAUACGUUCCCGGGCCUUGUACACACCGCCCGUCAAGCCAUGGGAGCCGGGGGUACCUGAAGUGCGUAACCGCGAGGAGCGCCCUAGGGUAAAACUGGUGACUGGGGCUAAGUCGUAACAAGGUAGCCGUACCGGAAGGUGCGGCUG